rnacentral:rRNA from 1 species
GAUGAACGCUGGCGGCGUGCCUAAUACAUGCAAGUCGAGCGAACGGACGAGAAGCUUGCUUCUCUGAUGUUAGCGGCGGACGGGUGAGUAACACGUGGAUAACCUACCUAUAAGACUGGGAUAACUUCGGGAAACCGGAGCUAAUACCGGAUAAUAUUUUGAACCGCAUGGUUCAAAAGUGAAAGACGGUCUUGCUGUCACUUAUAGAUGGAUCCGCGCUGCAUUAGCUAGUUGGUAAGGUAACGGGCUACCAAGGCAACGAUGCAUAGCCGACCUGAGAGGGUGAUCGGCCACAUGGGAACUGGGACACGGUCCAGACUCCUACGGGAGGCAGCAGUAGAGAAUCUGCCGCAAUGGGCGAAAGCCUGACGGAGCAACGCCGCGUGAGUGAUGAAGGUGUUCGGAUCGUAAAACUCUGUUAUUAGGGAAGAACAUAUGUGUAAGUAACUGUGCACAUCUUGACGGUACCUAAUCAGAAAGCCACGGCUAACUACGUG